AGUAGCUGUUAUAUCAGUGUGACCCCCUUCAGGUUGGAGAGCCUUCAGACCCAGGCUUUUUCUCUCGGUCACCCAUUUGGUGCUGCAUUAACAGCAGAACUCUGAGGAACCCCAGAGGCUGUGCUGGAUGGGUGAUCAGAAAAACUGGUCCUAGCCUGAGGCCAACCCACUCCUGCUUCCCAUGAAGGACGGGAAGGCUGAGGUAGAGCACAGGCACAUUGGGAAAGAUAGGUGGGUGGAGCUGCAAGUGGGCCAGAGCCGAGGAGAGAAAACAAGCCUGAGGGUUCCUAUGAGGCCCCAAGUCAGUACACUUCUGUCCAUCUGUCCCCCCAGUACUCCCACUUGGUCCUCCAGGUCCCAGGAGUGUCUUCUACCCCAGUUCUUUUUUUUUUUUUCUUUUUUUUGGAGCUGGGGACCGAACCCAGGGCCUUGCGCUUCCUAGGUAAGCGCUCUACCACUGAGCUAAAUCCCCAGCCCCUCUACCCCAGUUCUUGAUGGUGCUAUCUUCUGCUCAUCUCCUUCUCCUCUCACUCCAAAUCACCCACCCCCAUCAAGUCUCUCAUAUGACCUCAUCUAGGGAAUUUCCUGAUCUCCACUCCUGGCUGUCAAUGAGGAACAUUCUCUAGACAACUGCACUGCCCUGGGCCGCUGAGGAGCCUGGCAGAAUUGUAACGAAGCCAGUUUCUUCUACCAGCUCUCACACUGGGAAUGAUAUCAUCCCUGAAUCCAGAUCCUGCAUGUAUACACUCAGCACCUUCCCCUGGGAUUCCAUUCUGUCACUCUGGAACCCCUAAACAGGAGGUCAAGCGGACUCUGCACCCACAUGAAAAAAGAUGUAAGAUGUCUGAAGUCUCAGGAGGGCUGCCCUGGCAGCUUUCCUGAGAGUCCAUGAACUUUGUCCUUCCCACACAUAGUUGGGAAAGGCCAGAGAUGAGACUGAUAGCCAGUGGUGGUCUAGAACCUGGCUUAGCUCACAACAUGUACUCAGGUAAGAAUGUUCUCGAGGAAAAAACCCCACAGUGGUAACACAGUCUUUAUGUUUUAGCAGAAAAGUCAGAAAACAGCACAUUUUGGAGAAUAAGGUGGGCUUCCUGUCAUAGGGAAAUAGUUCAUACUUGCCCCUGUUUUAUUACCUGAGUGUUGUGUAACGGCGACAGCCAUCCAUCAGGCAGUGCCCCAUGGCACACAGGCUGGUGUUGCUUAUGCUAUGCCAGAGUUCUGGCUCUGAGCUGAAAGCAAGUCACAGAAGACAUUCAGAAAGUUCACAGAUAACCCCAGUCAAACUCCUGGCUGGGACACAGGUCAGAAAAUGACUUCAUCUUCUCUGGAUUCUUGCCCAAGGUUGAGCCCUGGCAGCUGCCACCCUCUGUCCUGGUGCUGUUCUGGCUGGACACCAGCUGGGUUCCUUCCUUCUGCCUUGGCUGCUGGCUUCACUCAGGGACAGCGGCCCCUGAAUGAUCGUUUCUGGGUCUGAGCCAUCCUCUAAGCCUGCACAGCAGAGGGCAUCAGCUGUAGCAUUUCCUUUGUUUUGUUUUGGCAUCAGCUCUUUUAGUGCCGGGGGUUUUUAUUUGUUUGUUUGUUUGAUCUUUUCUUUUCUUUCUCUUUUUGGAGAACUGGCCUAGUAGCACUUCUGGGGAAGUGACUUGUCAGCAUUAUCAGACUUCAAGGAACCAGAAUCUUCUGACCUGGAGGACUUCUGUUUUCUGUAACGACCUCGGACAACCGAUUGCUUAGUCAUGUUUUACACGAUGUUUAAUUCCGACAGUUCCUCAGACGCGCAUGGGUUAUGUCGAUUCUUGAAUUUCUACAGGUGGUAAAAGGCGGGGAAUGUCUGCAGACGAGGUCACAUGAUUUGUACCUGCCUGACUUGUGGAAGCUCCCGAAGGUACCAUAUGCUGGCGGCCUGGUAAAGGGACUCUAAAGUAUUUACACAUGUGGAGUGAAGGCCCCCUGGACAAACAGGUUCUCUACCCUCCCUGUGGCUUGACUGGAGGAGGUGUGGCCUUGUUGGAGGAAGUGUGUCACUGUGGGGUGGGCUUUGAAGCUCUGCCCAGCGUGGGAAGAGUCAGUCUUCUCUUGUUGCCUUUGGAAUAAGAUGUAGAACUCUCAGUUCCUCCAGCGCCAGGCCUGCCUACACACCACCAUGCUUCCUGCCGUGAUGACAAUGGACUGAACCUCUGACCCUGUAAGCCAGCCCCAGUCAAAUGUCUUUUAUAAGAGUCAUACUGAAACAUUUCCACCACUGCCUGCCAUUACUCCUUGACCAAUAUAGUCUGAUGACCAUUCAUGCAGCAUUGACACUGUGUUGCAAAUUCCAGGUUGCCUGGGGAAGAUGUCAAGUAUAAGAGGAUGUCCACUGGGUCUACGCACAUAUGACACCGUCUCACCCAAGGAACAUUUCAGUCUCUGGGUUGUGGUGUGUUUGAGAGCACGGGACCAACUGUAUACACGUAUAUGCAGUAGACUUUCCAGAGAGACUUUUUGUACUAUGUAACGUUGCCUAAUUAGAACUGUAAGACGCACAUUUUAGUGUUGUCCAUGACGCAACAGGGCCCCUCGUUGUCGUUGUUGCUGCUUUUGAUAUUUUACAGCAAAGGAAGUGAACAACUAUAGAACUAGGAGUUUUAGAGUCCUGUUAUGUUCGGGGUUAGAACUCAGACGCUUCCUAGCUUGAACCCUAAAUUUAGUAGCCGAGGACUUAGCCCCUAUGUCUGUUUCACUGUUUGUCAACUUAACCAUGUAAUUGCUUCCCUUGUCUUAAGUCCCCUUUUCUUCUUUUUGUUGUUAUUUUUGUCUUCUAGUUUCUUAAGAUGAAUUCCAACUCCUAUUUUUAAUUUUCUAUUAUACUAAAGACAGUGUUUAAAGCUAUUUUCUCUAAAUACAACUUUUUGUGCAUGCUGUAGGUCUGCUAUGAGGACUCUGUGUGUGUGCGUGUGUGUGUGUGUGUGUGUGUGUGUGUGGUGUGUGGUGUGUGUGUGUUUGUGUGUGUGUUUGUGUGUGUGUGUGUUUGUGUGUGGUGUGUAUGUGUGUGGUGUGUAUGUGUGUGGUGUGUAUGUGUGUGUGUGUGAGUGUGUGUGUGGUGUGUGUGUGGUGUGUAUGUGUGUGUGUGGUGUGUGUGUGUUUGUGUGUGUGUGUUUGUGUGUGGUGUGUAUGUGUGUGGUGUGUGUUUGUGUGUGUGUGUGUUUGUGUGUGGUGUGUAUGUGUGUGGUGUGUAUGUGUGUGUGUGUGAGUGUGUAUGUGUUUGCAUGUGUGCGUGUGUGAACCACCUGUUUGUCACUGCCUAUAGAGGCCAGAAGAAGGCAUUGGGUACCCUGAAGUCACUGUGUAGGUGCUGGGAACCAAACCCUGGUCCUUUGCACGAGAAGCUGGUGCUCUUAACUGCUGAGCCAUCUUUCUCUUCCUUGCUUGCUAAAUGACACACUUUCAGCCUCGGCUUCCUGUUUGCUCAGGAACAUUUAAUGAAUGUCCCUUUGUUUCCUAACUAUAGAACUUUAUGUGACUCGUCUGUUGGGAGGGGGUGGUACGAGUCCUAUGACUCUAAAGUCUACUUUCCUAAACUCUCAGAAAUGUUCUUCCUCAUCAAGUUUCUGACUGGAUUUCACAAAUGCUAUAAAGUUCAUCUUUUGAAAGACAAAAAAGCAAGGAAAAGUUACAUAUUUCCAACUUUGUGCUGCAUAUUUCACAUAUAUUUUUGCAUGAGGAAAGACUGCCUUAAGAAUUCUAUUUGUCUUCGACUAUGUGAGGUCAAUUCAUCUGAACUCUUCAAUAAGAAUAUUGAAAGCCUUCAU